rnacentral:lncRNA from 1 species
CUUAUGAAAAAUGUUUUUUUCUGAAAUGGAUCUGAUGAAAUGAUUCCUGCUUAUGAAUUCCAUCUUGAAAUAUGGAUGAUAGUAUUUUUACUUGCAAAAAUCUGUUACAAACACAUAUCUUGACUCAAAGUAAACUCACAAAUAGCUGGAAUCACAAAUGGCUUUCCUCCUUCAUGCACAAAGGAUUAUAAUUAAAAAAAAGGGGGAAGAAGUAUUCAAAGCAAUCUACGUAUCAUGCCUUCCUUUAUAUGCUUGAUAACUUGCUUAUAUUGUUCUCCUGGUAUCACAACUACCAUGCUUUUUGUUGAUGACAAAGGGGGAGAAAUAUAUGAAUUGAUACUAUAAACACUGAUGCUAUGAUUAUGCCAUGCUUGCAUCACCAAGAGACAUAUAAACAGAUGCCAUGCAUUAAUUUGCAUUAUGCCUUGAGU